UCUCAACUACUUUCAUUCGCAUGCAGGCUCUUCCAUCUUCCACAGAAAAAUUCUGAUCUCUUCCAGUUGCAGUUUCCAAAGGAGGCGACUAAGACAGAUGGAUCAGAAGACAGCUAAGGCAUGGCAACUGCCAGAUCCCUGAUGUGAUCUGGUGUGCAUCUAGACUGCAGUGUAAAGGAUGUGACAAUCUACAACGUACCACAGAAGAAAGUUAAGUUGAAGUCAAGCCUCUAAUUGUAAAGAUAUUUUUUCACUACCUGACAAGCGUUGCUCAUUAGCAACAUUACAAAUACAAGCUUCUCAUGCUGUGCAGCUACAGGAUAUGGACAGGAAGGUCCAGGUUGCCAGAUGUGCCCAAAGCAGAUUUUGUCCCAACAGUCUUUUUUUCUGGUCAAGC